GGAGGAGGGUGGGCAUGAGGCGGUAGCGGACCGCGGAGUCCAGACCUACCCGAACGACGCGGGCGAGCGGGGCUUUGGACGCCGGUGGAGACGCAGGCGAGCAGGAAGAAGAUGAGCCGUAAGUCUGAACGCCAAGGAAUUCAUGUGGAUCCUGUGCAAGAAAGGAUGUGGUUACUGUGGCAAUCCUACCUGGCAGGGUUUCUGCUCCAAGUGCUGGAGGGAAGAGUAGCACAAAGCCAGGCAGAAGCAGAUUCAGGAGGACUGGGAGCUGGUGGAACGGUAAAAGGACUUAACUAGGGGCAGUUGAUCAGUGAUGUGACUGGAUACAUAGCUCUGUCACCGUGCAAAUACAUUUUUUCUCUUCUGCAUUCAGCUAUCAGCAAGUCAGUUUAAUAUUAAGGAAAAGGAUGUUUUCCCCUCUUCUUCUCAGUCAACCUUUAAUGAACAGCUUUCAGUAGUUUCUUCAUUUUGUGUUUGUCUUAACUUCUGGUUAUUUUCUUUGGAUUGUGUUAGUCUUAGUUCUCAAAUUUAGACAAAUUCCUUGGAGUGGAAGAAUGGAGACAGGCAUAUUUCGUGGUGAAGAUUAAAUGAGCUAAUAAAUAUGAUGUACCCAGCGCAGGGCUUGCAAAUGGCACUCAUCAAGCAUUAUUUCUCUCGUUCUUUUACUAUAUUCAGCAUGGCAUAUAGCUCAGUGAUAAAACAGUAGUAGAAAUCUGGUGACUCGUAUACGUAUACAUAGUCCUUGCAUUAUCGAAAUUUAUUCCUUAAAAAUUAGGUUACUCAAAGGCAGUUUGUAUUAUCUGGAUAUACAGUGAUGUUAAAAAUUAAAUGAUGGGUCGGGCGCAGUGGCUCACGCCUGUAAUCCUAGCACUUUGAGAGGCUGAGGCAGCUGGAUUACCUGAGGUUAGGAGUUCAAGACCAGCCUGACCAACAUGGUGAAACCCAAUCUCUACUAAAAAUAUUUAAAAAGUUAGCCGGAUGUGGUGGUACGUGCUUGUAAUCCCAGUUACUUGGGCGGCUGAGGUAGGAGAAUUCCUUGAAUGUAGGUAUCGGAGAUUGCAGUGAGCUGAGAUCGUGCCACUGCGGUCCAGCCUGGGCAACAAGGUGAGACUCUGGUCUCAAAAAAAAACCAAAAAACAAAACAAAAUUAAAUGAUGG
rnacentral:lncRNA from 1 species